rnacentral:rRNA from 1 species
AUUGAACGCUGGCGGCAUGCCUUACACAUGCAAGUCGAACGGCAGCACGGGUGCUUGCCCCUGGUGGCGAGUGGCGAACGGGUGAGUAAUACAUCGGAACAUGUCCUGUAGUGGGGGAUAGCCCGGCGAAAGCCGGAUUAAUACCGCAUACGAUCUACGGAUGAAAGCUGGGGACCUUCGGGCCUCGCGCUAUAGGGUUGGCCGAUGGCUGAUUAGCUAGUUGGUGGGGUAAAGGCCUACCAAGGCGACGAUCAGUAGCUGGUCUGAGAGGACGACCAGCCACACUGGGACUGAGACACGGCCCAGACUCCUACGGGAGGCAGCAGUGGGGAAUUUUGGACAAUGGGCGAAAGCCUGAUCCAGCAAUGCCGCGUGUGUGAAGAAGGCCUUCGGGUUGUAAAGCACUUUUGUCCGGAAAGAAAUCAUUGGCCCUAAUACGGUCGGGGGAUGACGGUACCGGAAGAAUAAGCACCGGCUAACUACGUG